GGUGGUGGGCAGCACUGCCUGGCAGGCGGCUCUCUCAGAUCUGUCACUGUGGGGCACAGCUCCUGCCUCAGGACCCUGGCCACGUCUUCCACUGUCCUGCCCUCACUCUGCAGGAACAGAAAAGCUUUCCCAGCCACUUCGAACUUGCCCAGAGGUUUGAGGGGUGUCCGGAUGAUCUCUUCAAAUUCCUCAUGGUUGCAAUCUUCCGGGAUUCCCAGAAUCAUCAGGGACUUGUAACUAUCCACCUCCAAGGCCUUACACCCAUGUUCCAACAGUGCAAUGUCCUGGACACCAAAUAGCAUCCUGCCCAGCUCUUUGAGAACCUUGGGCUUCCUAAAGGUCUUCACUGUGCCCUGAUGGCAAAGAGCUCCCUGGAUCUGAUCUGCCGAGGGGUUCUGUCACCAGAGUGAGGCGGGUGUCAGCCUGGCAGCCAGGGGGUUCAGCCC